rnacentral:tRNA from 1 species
UCCCAUGUAGUCUAGUGGCUAGGAUACGCGGCUCUCACCCACGAGGCCCGGGUUCGAUUCCCGCCACGGGAA